rnacentral:rRNA from 1 species
CACGUAGGGUGCGAGCGUUGUCCGGAAUUAUUGGGCGUAAAGAGCUCGUAGGCGGUUCGUCGCGUCGGCUGUGAAAUCCCGAGGCUCAACCUCGGGUCUGCAGUCGAUACGGGCGGACUGGAGUUCGGCAGGGGAGACUGGAAUUCCUGGUGUAGCGGUGAAAUGCGCAGAUAUCAGGAGGAACACCGGUGGCGAAGGCGGGUCUCUGGGCCGAUACUGACGCUGAGGAGCGAAAGCGUGGGGAGCGAACAGG